UACGGAGGGUGCAAGCGUUAUCCGGAUUCACUGGGUUUAAAGGGUGCGUAGGUGGGUCUGUAAGUCAGUGGUGAAAUCUCCGAGCUUAACUCGGAAACUGCCAUUGAUACUAUAGGUCUUGAAUUAUCUGGAGGUGGGCGGAAUAUGUCAUGUAGCGGUGAGAUGCUUAGAUAUGACAUAGAACACCAAUUGCGAAGGCAGCUCACUACGGAUAUAUUGACACUGAGGCACGAAAGCGUGGGGAUCAAACAGG
rnacentral:rRNA from 1 species